CGACGACGACCAACGAGGCGACGACCCCGGCGGCGACGACGACCAACGAGGCGACGACUACUCUGAUGACCUCUGAGGCCCCUCAAGACCCCCAGUAGCCAGCUGACGUGACAACACAGCCAGAAAGGGCAUCUGAUGGCAUCUCAUCAAGAAGCCAAAAGUAUGGGACUAGAAACCAUGCAGGAGUUCACUUGCAUCCAAGGUUUUGCUUUUUGCCUCUGCUUUAAAUAAAACUAUGAACUUGA